rnacentral:misc_RNA from 1 species
ACUCGAACUUGAAUCUACUAGGUGAGUGAUAUACCUUUAGUCACUAAACUAAAUUAGACUGGGCUAUUAUAUUUAGUACAAUAUGAUAUAAUGUAAUAUAAUCAACAAUGUAAUAUAAUUAAAGUUAUAAUUUAAGUGGCGACAAUGAUUGAAUGGUGGUUGUAAUGUUGGUGACAGUGAUGACAUCGCUAAGAUAAUGGUAAAAGGGUGGAGGUGGCGAUAAGUGAUGGUGGUGGAGGCGAUAGACAAAUGAUGGUGGGGUAGUAAUGGUGUUCG